CUAACUCAAAUUUGUAUAGUGUUGGAACGUUUGCCUACGUUUGCCGCUAGGGGCGCUGUUCCAACUGCAUACAAAUCUAUGCCA
rnacentral:pre_miRNA from 1 species